GAAUAGGUCAACGCAGGCUACUUCCAGUCUGCUUGUCUGACCAUAAUAAACCAUUGAAAAGUUUUCUUCAACAGAAACUCUUUCUUUGCCUAAUUUUGCAAUGUCCAAUACGUUUUUGUUAGCUACCCUACAUUUGUGCAGGAACGACGGGAGCGCAAUAGUCUAAGGCGUAGCAGUCGCCGUGCCAUGCAGGCCACGUUGACCUACCCUGAGGUGAUCGUUCGGAGUGUGGAGAUGACAUCGGUCAGUCGGAGAGACAUCUCCUCUUCGAUCAGCAACAACACCUACAACCGAUACUUGCUGGAGAAACAACAGAAGAUAGGUUUGAAACACUUAGAUGUUGGUAGCCCUUAAAACUCUUACCCAUAUGUGUUUGAAAAUGGCUGAUUUGGGCACUGAUAAUCGCCUAAAUUGGAACGCAGUGGCAAUUCAGUAAAAUGCUAUAAAUUACGUCAGAGCUCAGGCUCUAAGCUUCACAGCGCAGAAUGCGGACGCAACAAAGUUACCCCCAUCCCUCCCGCUAAUUGUGCAAUGUUUGCACCUUUUUCGUUGUCUGAGUGAGGGAAAUGCUGUAAAUUAAGAGGGCUCAAUGUAUUUUGAAAGAUGAGGUUGAGGAUUAUAAUAAAUAUUGCUUUGAUGUCCUACAAGCAAGUCAAACACCCGAGUCCAAAUGUGCACUUGACAUUUCCAUAUCAUAAAACUCAUGUCAUAUACAGUGUCAACGUUUAUGAUCACUAUGUUUGAUGUAGUUACAAGAUGACAUAACGUGGUACCCUGGGUUGUUCUGAACAGAAUGAGCCUAUGUUUGUCUAUUGUGGAGCCAAUUUCCUGUGGAACACGUACCUGAACGCAUGCAUGACUCCUUUCAAUGCGCAUCAAAAUCAUGAUUUGUUUCUCUGAAUUGCCCUAUGAAAGCCUAACACUGUAAGAUUGUAUUUUAUAACUUAGCUAGUCAUGUUGGCAAUAGAACAAGAUUUCAAAUGAUGCCCACCUGACCCAUGGGCUGUUUUUUUUUAUUGCGUAAACAACAACAGUAAUCGUAUGAUGGUGGGGAUGCAAGGUUAUGUUCAAAACAACUACAAGUGUGUUUGCUUCGGUUCAUUUGAGCGAUUAAAGUGCAUCGAAAUGACUUAGGAACUUUGCACUUUUUGGAGAAGCGUGUGUCCACUUGGAGAUACCAGUUAGUCCUCUCACUCAAACCCAUUUUUUUGUCAUGUUGCACCUACUCCACAUUUUCCAGGAAUAUUCUUUCUUAUUUUCAGAUUUCGUAAUCAACAAAUGCAGCGAAAAGUAAAGUAAAUAUAAAAUGC
ensembl:lncRNA